GACGGUAUGGCUCAGUGGUGGAGCACGUGCCUAGCAUGCACAAGGUCCUGGGUUCAAUCCCCAGUGCUUCCA
rnacentral:tRNA from 1 species